rfam:Treponema maltophilum ATCC 51939 genomic scaffold aczIZ-supercont-complete, whole genome shotgun sequence.
GUCCGGGUCCUAUGCAAAAAACGUUUUCGAACCCCGUCAGAUCCGGAAGGAAGCAGCGGUAGAAAGCCUCUUUUUGUGCCGUAGUUCACCCGGGCUCU